rnacentral:rRNA from 1 species
GAUGAACGCUGGCGGCGUGCCUAAUACAUGCAAGUCGAGCGAACGGACGAGAAGCUUGCUUCUCUGAUGUUAGCGGCGGACGGGUGAGUAACACGUGGAUAACCUACCUAUAAGACUGGGAUAACUUCGGGAAACCGGAGCUAAUACCGGAUAAUAUUUUGAACCGCAUGGUUCAAAAGUGAUAGACGGUCUUGCUGUAACUUAUAGAUGGAUCCGCGCUGCAUUAGCUAGUUGGUAAGGUAACGGCUUACCAAGGCAACGAUGCAUAGCCGACCUGAGAGUGUGAUCGGCCACACUGGAACUGAGACACGGUCCAGACUCCUACGGGAGGCAGCAGUAGGGAAUCUUCCGCAAUGGGCGAAAGCCUGACGGAGCAACGCCGCGUGAGUGAUGAAGGUCUUCGGAUCGUAAAACUCUGUUAUUAGGGAAGAACAUAUGUGUAAGUAACUGUGCACAUCUUGACGGUACCUAAUCAGAAAGCCACGGCUAACUACGUG